rnacentral:lncRNA from 10 species
AAGAAAUUUCAGGUCCUGACAUUCCUGUCAAUCUCAUAAGAAGCUAUUCUCCAUUCAGCCCCUGGCAAGAGGUAUAAUUCCAUCGGAAUCCACAGAGGUUUGAUGAUGGUCUGAACACCAUCUUACUGUGUCAUUUGUUGAAAAUCAGGUCACUCACCUGUUCCAGAGAGCCCCCGAUAUGAUCAGAGAAAGCUUCAGAACCGUCUUGCUCUGCUGCUACUCUCACCCUGAGAAGAUCCUCAGUCUGACUCCUGGCAAUGUGGUAACACAGCUCGGAGAACCAGAAGGUUAAAGUCUUCACAUCCCCUUCUAGAGUUCGUCUGCUUCAAAACCAUUUGCCCCUCCCAGACACUAUAUCCGCACUUAUUCUUAGAAAUAACUUGACCAUCAGCACCGUUUUAUAGAACACUUACUAUGUGCCAGGCAUUGUUCCAACUUUCCUAUAAAUAUUACAAAACCAAAAUAUCUUUUAUGUAACCAUGUUG